rnacentral:rRNA from 1 species
UACGUAGGGGGCAAGCGUUGUCCGGAUUUAUUGGGCGUAAAGCGCUCGCAGGUGGUCCGCUGCGUCGUGCGUGAAAGACCCCGGCUCAACUGGGGGAUGUCGUGCGAUACGGGCGGACUGGAGGCCAGUAGGGGGAUGCGGAAUUCCGGGUGUAGCGGUGAAAUGCGCAGAUAUCAGGAGGAACACCGGUGGCGAAGGCGGAUCUCUGGGCCUUGCCUGACGCUGAGGCGCGAAAGCUAGGGGAGCGAACAGG